rnacentral:rRNA from 1 species
GCAGAACGCGAAGAACCUUACCCACCUUUGACAUGUACGGAAGUUGCCAGAGAUGGCUUCGUGCUCGAAAGAGAGCCGUAACACAGGUGCUGCAUGGCUGUCGUCGGCUCGUGCCGUGAGAUGUUGGGUUAAGUCCCGCAACGAGCGCAACCCUUGCCAUUAGUUGCUACGAAAGGGCACUCUAAUGGGACUGCCGGUGACAAGCCGGAGGAAGGUGGGGAUGACGUCAAGUCCCCAUGGCCCUUAUAGGUGGGGCUACACACGUCAUACAAUGGCCGGUACAGAGGGUCGCGAAGCCGCGAGGUGGAGCCAAUCCCAUAAAACCGGUCGUAGUCCGGAUCGCAGUCUGCAACUCGACUGCGUGAAGUCGGAAUCGCUAGUAAUCGCGGAUCAGCUUGCCGCGGUGAAUACGUUCCCGGGUCUUGUACACACCG